rnacentral:rRNA from 1 species
UGGGGAAUUUUGCGCAAUGGGGGAAACCCUGACGCAGCAACGCCGCGUGGAGGAUGAAGUCCCUUGGGACGUAAACUCCUUUCGACCGGGAAGAAUGCCUCGCAAGAGGACUGACGGUACCGGUAGAAGAAGCCCCGGCUAACUACGUGCCAGCAGCCGCGGUAAGACGUAGGGGGCCAGCGUUGUUCGGAAUUACUGGGUGUAAAGGGUUCGUAGGCGGUGUGGCAAGUUGGGAGUGAAAUCUCUGGGCUUAACCCAGAGGCUGCUUCCAAAACUGCUGUGCUUGAGUGUGGGAGAGGUGCGUGGAAUUGCAGGUGUAGCGGUGAAAUGCGUAGAUAUCUGCAGGAACACCCGUGGCGAAAGCGGCGCACUGGACCACAACUGACGCUGAGGAACGAAAGCUAGGGGAGCAAACAGGAUUAGAUACCCUGGUAGUCCUAGCCCUAAACGAUCAGGACUUGGGGUGGCUCACGUUCGUGAGUCGUCCCGGAGCUAACGCGUUAAGUCCUGCACCUGGGGAGUACGGUCGCAAGACUG